rnacentral:rRNA from 1 species
ACUAGAGAGUAGUUGCGGUAGGCGGAAUGUAUGGUGUAGCGGUGAAAUGCUUAGAGAUCAUACAGAACACCGAUUGCGAAGGCAGCUUACCAAACUAUAUCUGACGUUGAGGCACGAAAGCGUGGGGAGCAAACAGGAUUAGAUACCCUGGUAGUCCACGCAGUAAACGAUGAUAACUCGUUGUCGGCGAUACACAGUCGGUGACUAAGCGAAAGCGAUAAGUUAUCCACCUGGGGAGUACGUUCGCAAGAAUGAAACUCAAAGGAAUUGACGGGGGCCCGCACAAGCGGAGGAACAUGUGGUUUAAUUCGAUGAUACGCGAGGAACCUUACCCGGGCUUGAAAGUUACUGACGAUUCUGGAAACAGGAUUUCCCUUCGGGGCAGGAAACUAGGUGCUGCAUGGUUGUCGUCAGCUCGUGCCGUGAGGUGUCGGGUUAAGUCCCAUAACGAGCGCAACCCCUACCGUUAGUUGCCAUCAGGUCAAGCUGGGCACUCUGGCGGGACUGCCGGUGUAAGCCGAGAGGAAGGUGGGGAUGACGUCAAAUCAGCACGGCCCUUACGUCCGGGGCUACACACGUGUUACAAUGGUAGGUACAGAGGGCAGCUACCCAGUGAUGGGAUGCGAAUCUCGAAAGCCUAUCUCAGUUCGGAUCGGAGGCUGAAACCCGCCUCCGUGAAGUUGGAUUCGCUAGUAAUCGCGCAUCAGCCAUGGCGCG